GCUUUGGUGAUGUAGUGGUAGAGCACGCGUCCCCGGAUAGGAAGAGAACGCGGGUUUGAUUCCCGCCUAAGGCC